rnacentral:rRNA from 1 species
AUACGUAGGGGGCGAGCGUUGUCCGGAAUGACUGGGCGUAAAGGGCGUGUAGGCGGCCGAUUAAGUCUGGAGUGAAAGUCCUGCUUUCAAGGUGGGAAUUGCUUUGGAUACUGCCGCGCUUGAGUGCAGGAGAGGUUAUCGGAAUUCCCGGUGUAGCGGUGAAAUGCGUAGAGAUCGGGAGGAACACCAGUGGCGAAGGCGGGUAACUGGACUGCAACUGACGCUGAGGCGCGAAAGUGUGGGGAGCAAACAGGAUUAGAUACCCUGGUAGUCCACACUGUAAACGAUGAAUGCUAGGUGUAAGAGGUAUCGACCCCUUUUGUGCCGGAGUCAACACAAUAAGCAUUCCGCCUGGGGAGUACGGCCGCAAGGUUGAAACUCAAAUGAAUUGACGGGG